rnacentral:rRNA from 1 species
GUCUUUUUGUUAAAAAUUUAAAGUCGGGCCUGCCCACUGAUAUUUUUAAAUGGCCGUGGUAUUUUGACCGUGCUAAGGUAGCAUAAUCAUUAGUUUUUUAAUUGAAAGCUGGAAUGAAGGGUUUGAUAAAAAAAUGACUGUCUCUAUUUAAUUUUAUUAAAAUUUUAUUUUUAAGUUCAAAAGCUUAAUUAAUAUUAAAAGACGAGAAGACCCUAUAGAGUUUAAUAAUAAGAAAUAAUUUUUAUUUUGGAAUUAAUUUAUUUAUUAUUUUAUAUUAUUUAAUUGGGGUGAUUGAAAAAUUUAAUAAACUUUUUUUAUAUUUUACCAUUGAUUUAUGAUUAUUUGAUCCAAUUUUUUUGAUUAUAAGAUAAAAUUACCUUAGGGAUAACAGCGUAAUUUUUUUAGAAAGUUCAAAUUAAAAGAAAAGAUUGCGACCUCGAUGUUGGAUUAAAAUUUAAUUUUGGUGUAGAAGCUAAAAAGUUUAAGUCUGUUCGACUUUUAAAAUUUUACA